AUUGAACGCUAGCGGGAUGCUUUCCACAUGCAAGUCGAACGAGUGGCGGACGGGUGAGUAAUAUAUCUGUACGUGCCCAGUAGCGGGGGAUAACUACUCGAAAGAGUUGCUAAUACCGCUUACUAUUGGAACGGCCGAUAUCGGAUUAGCUACGUGGUGGGGUCAAGGCUCACCAAGGCAACGAUCCGUAGCUGGUGUGAGAAGACGACUGGCCACACUGGGACUGAGACACGGCCCAGACUCCUACGGGAGGCAGCAGUGGGGAAUUUUGGACAAUGGGGGAAACCCGGAUCCAGCCAUCCCGCGUGUAGGAUAAGGCCUUCGGGGUGUAAAGUACUUUUGGCAGAGAAGCGGUAUCUGCAGAAUAAGCACCGGCUAACUACGUGCCAGCAGCCGCGGUAAUUC
rnacentral:rRNA from 1 species